AUGUAUAUGUUAAUAACAUAUCCUAGCGUUCGGCAUUUCGCGCGGCUUCGAUAGGUAGUCGAAGAGGAUUAAAAAUUUGAAAACUCAAACAGUUUUAUUAUUAAUGAACCUUUUUUAUGCAUUAGUUUUAAAUUAUUUUCGUUAAUUUGCCGGACCAACAAUCCUCUUUGUAGGUGUUGCCAGUCAAAAAUCAUCUUACACAAUUAUUUAUCAUUUCAGUACAUUCAUAUAAAUAAAAUAAAACAUGCUUCAUUACCAAUAAAACUGUUUGAAUUUUGAAAAUCUUCGACCACCCACCACCACCGCGCGAAAUUGCUGCCAGAUGCUCGGAUAUGUUAUUAGUAUAUACAUAACUAUCUUAUAUCCAAAUAUCAACAAUAAUAAAACUGUUUAAAAAAGUGUGCGACUAGCUCUCCUACUAUAAUAUUUUAGUCGCUCAAUUAAAAUACUAUCAUUUCUUUAAAGUUCAUUAGUAUAUGAAGACUUAAAUUUCCCAAAGGAGAAUUAUUUCAUGUCAUUGUUCAUUUCAGUAGGACUUUCCAUUUGAUCCAUUAAGAAUGACGUUAUUGUCUUUGGAUUGUUAAGUAGCAUAUUGUGUCCACUUGUAGUAAGUUCCUCCUUGUCACGGUGACGUUAUUUAAACAGUUUAGUUUUCUUUUACUUUUUCAGAGGAUGAACUAUGUAUAAGAUGUUGACACUAAAACAUUCUAUAAAACACAUGUCAAGUUCUAUUUGAUAAUGAAAACAGGUCAAUUUUGGUUAAUCAUUACACUUCAGUUAAUAAUAACAUGCUGUUUUUGCAGGGGUCCUAAAUGCUCAAUUGUUUUUGAAUUCACAAGUCUUAUAGAGGUGUUCAGUACGAUAUACCAUUUUAUCCUAUUGUUGACUUACAAUCUUUUCAUAAACGAACAUUAAAAUUGAAUUUUAUAAACUGUGAGAUAAAUCUUCAAUCAUAUGCACAUUUUACUAUUUGUUCAAACAUUUUUUACCUGUAAAUCAUUUAUUCUGCAUGCCUCAUUGCAAAUAUUUCUUAUUCUUAUAUUUUUGUUGGCACAGCAAACGUGAUUUAGUAUGUCUUUGCCAUACAAAAAGCACAUUAUAAAAUAAUAUGUGGGCUUACUACAUCUAUUAUGGUUGUGGGUAGAUAUCUAGAUCGAGUUCUGCUAGUUCCUUAUCGAGGGAGGUUCAAUAUUACAUGCAGAAUAAAGAGCCUGUGCAUCGUUAACCUUUUGCUUUCAUUCAUUAGUUUGCAAUAAAAUUACUGUUUGCGUUACUGUCACACUACAUCUUGGGAUAUCAACGAGAAGCUGAACGGUGUAAAUAUCUUAUCUGAAGACUCACACAUGCUAUAUAAUAAUUAUGAUGGUACCGAAGGUUUAGUAUAAGUUAUAUGGAUAAGUAAUUCUUAAUUGUCACAUCUUACAUGUAAUAUAUCGUGUCGCGUCAUGCUAUUUAUGUUAUAGUGUGCUUGUUUAAAUUAAGUUUAUUAAAGACAAUAUUGAGAUGUGUAUAAUAGUUGGUUAUAUUUGUAAAUUUGUGUUCUUAUUUGCAAAUUGUGUACAGUAUGGGUUUUAAUAAAUACAUAUUUAAGAAGUU